UUAAGUUAUUAAGGGCGCACGGUGGAUGCCUUGGCACUAGAAGCCAAUGAAGGACGUUACUAACGACGAUAUGCUUUGGGGAGCUGUAAGUAAGCUUUGAUCCAGAGAUUUCCGAAUGGGGAAACCCAGCAUGAGUUAUGUCAUGUUAUCGAUAUGUGAAUACAUAGCAUAUCAGAAGGCACACCCGGAGAACUGAAACAUCUUAGUACCCGGAGGAAGAGAAAGAAAAUUCGAUUCCCUUAGUAGCGGCGAGCGAAACGGGAAGAGCCCAAACCAACAAGCUUGCUUGUUGGGGUUGUAGGACACUCUAUACGGAGUUACAAAGGACGACAUUAGACGAAACAUCUGGAAAGAUGAAUCAAAGAAGGUAAUAAUCCUGUAGUCGAAAAUGUUGUCUCUCUUGAGUGGAUCCUGAGUACGACGGAGCACGUGAAAUUCCGUCGGAAUCUGGGAGGACCAUCUCCUAAGGCUAAAUCCUCUCUAGUGACCGAUAGUGAACCAGUACCGUGAGGGAAAGGUGAAAAGCACCCCGGAAGGGGAGUGAAAUAGAACCUGAAACCGUGUGCUUACAAGUAGUCAGAGCCCGUUAAUGGGUGAUGGCGUGCCUUUUGUAGAAUGAACCGGCGAGUUACGAUUUGAUGCAAGGUUAAGCAGUAAAUGUGGAGCCGUAGCGAAAGCGAGUCUGAAUAGGGCGUUUAGUAUUUGGUCGUAGACCCGAAACCAGGUGAUCUACCCUUGGUCAGGUUGAAGUUCAGGUAACACUGAAGGGAGGACCGAACCGACUUACGUUGAAAAGUGAGCGGAUGAACUGAGGGUAGCGGAGAAAUUCCAAUCGAACCUGGAGAUAGCUGGUUCUCUCCGAAAUAGCUUUAGGGCUAGCCUCAAGUGAUGAUUAUUGGAGGUGGAGCACUGUUUGGACGAGGGGCCCCUCUCGGGUUACCGAAUUCAGACAAACUCCGAAUGCCAAUUAAUUUAACUUGGGAGGCAGAACAUGGGUGAUAAGGUCCGUGUUCGAAAGGGAAACAGCCCAGACCACCAGCUAAGGUCCCAAAAUAUAUGUUAAGUGGAAAAGGAUGUGGCGUUGCCCAGACAACUAGGAUGUUGGCUUAGAAGCAGCCAUCAUUUAAAGAGUGCGUAAUAGCUCACUAGUCGAGUGACACUGCGCCGAAAAUGUACCGGGGCUAAACAUAUUACCGAAGCUGUGGAUUGUCCUUUGGACAAUGGUAGGAGAGCGUUCUAAGGGCGUUGAAGCAUGAUCGUAAGGACAUGUGGAGCGCUUAGAAGUGAGAAUGCCGGUGUGAGUAGCGAAAGACGGGUGAGAAUCCCGUCCACCGAUUGGCUAAGGUUUCCAGAGGAAGGCUCGUCCGCUCUGGGUUAGGCGGGUCCUAAGCUGAGGCCGACAGGCGUAGGCGAUGGAUAACAGGUUGAUAUUCCUGUACCACCUAUAAUCGUUUUAAUCGAUGGGGGUACGCAGUAGGAUAGGCGAAGCGUGCGAUUGGAUUGCACGUCUAAGCAGUAAGGCUGAGUAUUAGGCAAAUCCGGUACUCGUUAAGGCUGAGCUGUGAUGGGGAGAAGACAUUGUGUCUUCGAGUCGUUGAUUUCACACUGCCGAGAAAAGCCUCUAGAUAGAAAAUAGGUGCCCGUACCGCAAACCGACACAGGUAGUCAAGAUGAGAAUUCUAAGGUGAGCGAGCGAACUCUCGUUAAGGAACUCGGCAAAAUGACCCCGUAACUUCGGGAGAAGGGGUGCUCUUUAGGGUUAACGCCCAGAAGAGCCGCAGUGAAUAGGCCCAAGCGACUGUUUAUCAAAAACACAGGUCUCUUCUAAACCGUAAGGUGAUGUAUAGGGGCUGACGCCUGCCCGGUGCUGGAAGGUUAAGAGGAGUGGUUAGCUUCUGCGAAGCUACGAAUCGAAGCCCCAGUAAACGGCGGCCGGAACUAUAACGGUCCUAAGGUAGCGAAAUUCCUUGUCGGGUAAGUUCCGACCCGCACGAAAGGCGUAACGAUUUGGGCACUGUCUCAACGAGAGACUCGGUGAAAUCAUAGUACCUGUGAAGAUGCAGGUUACCCGCGACAGGACGGAAAGACCCCGUGGAGCUUUACUGUAGCCUGAUAUUGAAAUUCGGCACAGCUUGUACAGGAUAGGUAGGAGCCUUUGAAACGUGAGCGCUAGCUUACGUGGAGGCGCUGGUGGGAUACUACCCUAGCUGUGUUGGCUUUCUAACCCGCACCACUUAUCGUGGUGGGAGACAGUGUCAGGCGGGCAGUUUGACUGGGGCGGUCGCCUCCUAAAAGNUUUCCAGAGGAAGGCUCGUCCGCUCUGGGUUAGUCGGGUCCUAAGCUGAGGCCGACAGGCGUAGGCGAUGGAUAACAGGUUGAUAUUCCUGUACCACCUAUAAUCGUUUUAAUCGAUGGGGGGACGCAGUAGGAUAGGCGAAGCGUGCGAUUGGAUUGCACGUCUAAGCAGUAAGGCUGAGUAUUAGGCAAAUCCGGUACUCGUUAAGGCUGAGCUGUGAUGGGGAGAAGACAUUGUGUCUUCGAGUCGUUGAUUUCACACUGCCGAGAAAAGCCUCUAGAUAGAAAAUAGGUGCCCGUACCGCAAACCGACACAGGUAGUCAAGAUGAGAAUUCUAAGGUGAGCGAGCGAACUCUCGUUAAGGAACUCGGCAAAAUGCCCCCGUAACUUCGGGAGAAGGGGUGCUCUUUAGGGUUAACGCCCAGAAGAGCCGCAGUGAAUAGGCCCAAGCGACUGUUUAUCAAAAACACAGGUCUCUGCUAAACCGUAAGGUGAUGUAUAGGGGCUGACGCCUGCCCGGUGCUGGAAGGUUAAGAGGAGUGGUUAGCUUCUGCGAAGCUACGAAUCGAAGCCCCAGUAAACGGCGGCCGUAACUAUAACGGUCCUAAGGUAGCGAAAUUCCUUGUCGGGUAAGUUCCGACCCGCACGAAAGGCGUAACGAUUUGGGCACUGUCUCAACGAGAGACUCGGUGAAAUCAUAGUACCUGUGAAGAUGCAGGUUACCCGCGACAGGACGGAAAGACCCCGUGGAGCUUUACUGUAGCCUGAUAUUGAAAUUCGGCACAGCUUGUACAGGAUAGGUAGGAGCCUUUGAAACGUGAGCGCUAGCUUACGUGGAGGCGCUGGUGGGAUACUACCCUAGCUGUGUUGGCUUUCUAACCCGCACCACUUAUCGUGGUGGGAGACAGUGUCAGGCGGGCAGUUUGACUGGGGCGGUCGCCUCCUAAAAGGUAACGGAGGCGCUCAAAGGUUCCCUCAGAAUGGUUGGAAAUCAUUCAUAGAGUGUAAAGGCAUAAGGGAGCUUGACUGCGAGACCUACAAGUCGAGCAGGGUCGAAAGACGGACUUAGUGAUCCGGUGGUUCCGCAUGGAAGGGCCAUCGCUCAACGGAUAAAAGCUACCCCGGGGAUAACAGGCUUAUCUCCCCCAAGAGUUCCCAUCGACGGGGAGGUUUGGCACCUCGAUGUCGGCUCAUCGCAUCCUGGGGCUGUAGUCGGUCCCAAGGGUUGGGCUGUUCGCCCAUUAAAGCGGUACGCGAGCUGGGUUCAGAACGUCGUGAGACAGUUCGGUCCCUAUCCGUCGUGGGCGUAGGAAAUUUGAGAGGAGCUGUCCUUAGACGAGAGGACCGGGAUGGACAUACCUCUGGUGUACCAGUUGUCGUGCCAACGGCAUAGCUGGGUAGCUAUGUGUGGACGGGAUAAGUGCUGAAAGCAUCUAAGCAUGAAGCCCCCCUCAAGAUGAGAUUUCCCAACUUCGGUUAUAAGAUCCCUCAAAGAUGAUGAAGAUAAUAGGUUCGAGGUGGAAGCAUGGUGACAUGUGGAGCUGACGAAUACUAAUCGAUCGAAGACUUAAUCAA
rnacentral:rRNA from 1 species